rnacentral:rRNA from 1 species
UACAGAGACUGCAAGCGUUAUUCGGAUUCACUGGGCGUAAAGGGUGCGCAGGCGGCCAAGUGUGUUAGGCGUGAAAGCCCGAGGCUUAACCCCGGAAUUGCACCUCAAACUACACGGCUAGAGCAUUGGAGAGGGUAGCAGAAUUCACGGUGUAGCAGUGAAAUGCGUAGAUAUCGUGAGGAAUACCAGAGGCGAAGGCGGCUACCUGGACAAUUGCUGACGCUCAGGCACGAAAGCGUGGGGAGCAAAAGGG